rnacentral:rRNA from 1 species
UAGGUGAAGUCAAUGAUCCCAUGCUGCCAAGAAAAGCCUCUAGCGAGCUUCGAGCGGCCCGUACCCCAAACCGACACAGGUGGUCAGGUAGAGAAUACCGAGGCGAUCGGGCGAACUGUGGUUAAGGAACUCGGCAAAUUACCCCCGUAACUUCGGGAGAAGGGGGGCCACAGACUGUCAUACCCCACGCGGGUGGCAGCAGUAGGUGGCCGCAGAGACCAGGGGGAAGCGACUGUUUACUAAAAACACAGGUCCGUGCGAAGUCGUAAGACGAUGUAUACGGACUGACGCCUGCCCGGUGCUGGAACGUUAAGGGGACCGGUUAGUCCGCAAGGGCGAAGCUGAGAACUUAAGCGCCAGUAAACGGCGGUGGUAACUAUAACCAUCCUAAGGUAGCGAAAUUCCUUGUCGGGUAAGUUCCGACCUGCACGAAUGGCGUAACGACUUCCCUACUGUCUCAACCACAGGCCCGGCGAAAUUGCACUACGAGUAAAGAUGCUCGUUACGCGCGGAAGGACGGAAAGACCCCGGGACCUUCACUAUAGCUUGACAUUGGUAUCCGAAUUUAAUUGUGUAGGAUAGGUGGGAGGCUUUGAUCCGCGGACGCCAGUCCGUCGGGGAGCCAACGUUGAAAUACCACUCUGUCGACUUUGGGUAUCUAACUUCGGACCGUGAUCCGGUUCAGGGACAGUGUCUGGUGGGUAGUUUAACUGGGGCGGUUGCCUCCUAAAAUGUAACGGGGGCGCCCAAAGGUUCCCUCAGCCUGGUUGGCAAUCAGGUGUUGAGUGCAAGUGCACAAGGGAGCUUGACUGUGAGACUGACAGGUCGAGCAGGGACGAAAGUCGGGACUAGUGAUCCGGCACCUGCGAGUGGAAGCGGUGUCGCUCAACGGAUAAAAGGUACCCCGGGGAUAACAGGCUGAUCUUCCCCAAGAGUCCAUAUCGACGGGAUGGUUUGGCACCUCGAUGUCGGCUCGUCGCAUCCUGGGGCUGGAGUAGGUCCCAAGGGUUGGGCUGUUCGCCCAUUAAAGCGGCACGCGAGCUGGGUUUAGAACGUCGUGAGACAGUUCGGUCCCUAUCCUCCGCGCGCGUAGGAGACUUGAGAAGAGCUGUCCCUAGUACGAGAGGACCGGGACGGACGAACCUCUGGUGUGCCAGUUGUCAUGCCAAUGGCACGGCUGGUUAGCUACGUUCGGAAGGGAUAACCGCUGAAAGCAUCUAAGCGGGAAGCUCGCUUCAAGAUGAGGUCUCCCACCCCUUAGAGGGUUAAGGCCCCCAGCUAGACCACUGGGUUGAUAGGCCAGAAGUGUAAGCCUGGUAACAGGUUCAGCCGACUGGUACUAAUAGGCCGAGGACUCCG